rnacentral:rRNA from 1 species
GAUGAACGCUGGCGGCGUGCCUAAUACAUGCAAGUCGAGCGAACAGACGAGGAUCUUGCUCCUCUGACGUUAUCGGCGGACGGGUGAGUAACACGUGGAUAACCUACCUAUAAGACUGGGAUAACUUCGGGAAACCGGAGCUAAUACCGGAUAAUAUAUUGAACCGCAUGGUUCAAUAGUGAAAGACGGUUUUGCUGUCACUUAUAGAUGGAUCCGCGCCGCAUUAGCUAGUUGGUAAGGUAACGGCUUACCAAGGCAACGAUGCGUAGCCGACCUGAGAGGGUGAUCGGCCACACUGGAACUGAGACACGGUCCAGACUCCUACGGGAGGCAGCAGUAGGGAAUCUUCCGCAAGGGGCGAAAGCCUGACGGAGCAACGCCGCGUGAGUGAUGAAGCUCUUCGGAUCGUAAAACUCUGUUAUUAGGGAAGAACAAAUGUGUAAGUAACUAUGCACGUCUUGACGGUACCUAAUCAGAAAGCCACGGCUAACUACGUG